AGAGAGAAGAGAUCUAUUGUGAUGAUAGCCGUAAAUAUGCAAAAAGAUUACUUUGCUGAAAAGUUGAAAGUACAUUGUGUAUGAUUGUUGACUAUCCAAUCACCUCCACACUCCACAAAACCCUAAUACUAAUUAUUGUUUUUCUCAGAUCUGAAGCCAUUGAUUCAGCUCGUGAGAUCAAAAUUGGUGUGUGUGGUGCAGUGAGGAGAUGGGGAAGGGGAGUUUGCAGAGUCAUGACAGAAGAGAGUGAGCACACGCAGGCAUUUCUAUAAUCAGUAUAUAUAUUUGUUUAGACGUGUGCUCACUUCUCUUUCUGUCAUAAAACUUUCCACUCCCACUUUUUUCCAUCAUUACUACUUUCACUGCACCACCUAUUUCAAGAUUGGCCUCUUUCUGUGUGUUUAUUCAUUAAUUCAAGAGAUAAUUAUCAAGGGAAAUAGGCAGAACAUCUCAAGUGUCACACGCCUCACUCUGCAAAACACACCUACACACAGUGAGAUUUUUUUUUAGAAGAACAUUUUCGCAAAAUGUAUAUGAAAGUUUGAAUCUUGAAACCCUCUUAGCUCUAUCUCAUGUAAAUUGUCUUUUCAAGUUAUCUUUUUUGUAUAAUUAAUUCAUGUGGAAGCAAAUUUCGUUGAUCUAGUUAUGACUUAGAUUACAAAUUGAAAAUAAAAGUUUGAAUCUUGAUGAAGCCCUCUUAACUAGGUUUAUCUAAUGUAUAUCGUUUAUUCAAAUUAUCUUUUUCACUGUUGUUUUGUUCUCUCUUUUAUGUUGGAGGAAAUUUCUGAUCAUAUGUAUCAAAUCAUGAAAAUAAAUUGUAGAUCUUGAAACCCUUUUUACUACCUCUAUGUAUAUGUUUCUUCAAAUCAUCUUUUUGACAAUUUUUUUUUUUUGUAUUUUUAUGUGGAAGAAAAUGAAAUUAAAGCCUGAAUUUUUUUUUUUUUUUUUAUUAGCAAAGUCUUGAAUCUUAAUACAAGUAGUAGUAGUAUAUAAUUAAUUAUUGUAGGAUAGAGGUUAUGCAGUGAUUAGAUUGCUACUACUUUCAUUUUUAAAAAAAAAUUUAUACUCAGAGGCGUGACUUUUGAUGUUGUCAUUGUUGGAGUUGAAGAUUUGGUAAGGUACGCCUGGCCACUGUUCUGAAAUAACGGCAAAGUGUUUGUUGGUUUCAUUUGAGCCAUACUCAUUUUCCUCAUUAAAAUACUUUAUCAACAAAAAAAUCAACAUUUAUGCCAUACCCAAGUUCAAAUUAAUUCUUAGAGAGCAAUAUCUGGAUUUUUUUGGCUUUUAGAUUUAGAAAAAUUGAUUCUUUUGUAUCUUCGCCUCUACAGAAAAUAUGGGAUUUGUGAUUACAUUACCAUAUUUUAUGUGAUUUGUUCGUUCCAACCACAUUGGUUUUCUGGGUUUGUUUCUCUCUUGAAAUUGGUUAUGGUAACCACUCCUUUCCUAUGAAGCUUGGGUGCAGCCCAGAAAAAUAAAAGGUUUUUUUAGUACUCCAUUUCAUAUGUGAAGCUGAUGCGCAUAGAAUUAUGGGUGUCAUCAAGAAUGAAAAUUUUUCUUACACAGCCCUUGUUGCUGGAGGCUGAAAGUUGAUUUUCCAGUGCGAUGCUUGACUGAAUAGAUUAUGAUGGAAGAAUCAAGUGGUAAUACCAAAGAUCUGUUUGGUGAAAUCUCUGAUUCCAACAGCUGCAGUGUAAUCGGUGUGGCAUCCUUGCACGACCCAAGGGCCUCUGGCUAGGUUGAGGUUUCUCUUCGAGAAGAAGCUCACGCCUAGAGACGCUGGCAAGCUCAGUUGGCUUGUCAUUCCCAAGAAGUUUGCUGUCCUAAAAUCCUUCCCUGUCAGGUUUGUGAUCAAGGGAUAGGAUUAUUUUAUCUUCUUAUGAAGAGAAAUACUAUUGGUGUUGAUGGAGAUGAAGGCAGUAGAUGUCAUUGAGAGAAUGGAUACUGACAAUGUACAAGUGAAGGAAUAUGUACUUUCUCUUUGGUGUAAAGGCCUUAAACUAUUUGGCGUCGAAAUUGUGUAGUCGACAGCAAAGUUGGUUAAGUUGCCCUUUUCAUUCUUAUUAUUUUCCUAAUUGCAAUUAUAUAUUUUGAUUUGGAAUAAAGGCUUGAUUGUAAGACUCCA